rnacentral:rRNA from 2 species
UACAGAGAGUGCGAGCGUUAAUCGGAAUUACUGGGCGUAAAGCGCACGUAGGUGGAUAUUUAAGUUGGAUGUGAAAUCCCUGGGCUUAACCUAGGAAUUGCAUUCAAUACUGGAUGUCUAGAGUAUAGUAGAGGGAAGUGGAAUUUCUGGUGUAGCGGUGAAAUGCGUAGAUAUCAGAAGGAACAUCAGUGGCGAAAGCGGCUUCCUGGACUAAUACUGACACUUAGGUGCGAAAGCGUGGGGAGCAAACAGG